GCACCUUCGUCCAGAGCCGACCCAGAAGCUCUAGGUGGGGCCCCUGUACUUUAGUAUGUCCUGUAGGCCCUCCUGCUGCUCCCAGAAGUCUGGGGGCCUCCGAUGGGACCCCACCCCCAGAGCUGUGGGGUGGAUUAUGUAACCUGUGAGCGCCGACAACAGUGUGUGAACUCGCUGAUCCAAAGCUUUCCCUCCGGUACUAUCACCGCCCGUCACAGAAGCCACUAGAAGGGCCCAAGUCUCCAGGGAGGCGGUGGAGGCGGGGCAAGUGCAGGAACCAGGACUCCAGAGCACUGCCUGGGGCAAGGCCGAAACGCGGCCCCUUCUUUGGCUGCUGAGACCGAGGUCCCCAGACAGCAGGGAACAGCUAGACCGGGGACUGACACCAGGACUCACCUCCUUGGGCCACACACUCGGCCGGUCACUGCCUUCCCUGAGUCCCUGGCAGCCGGCGGCUCCUCCCGCCCCGCCCCUCCCACGUGCCGGGGCACCGUGCCCGCCAGGAUGACCGUCGUCAGCUCCAGCAAAACCACAACGCCGGAGGACACUAAGCAAGCCCACACUGCUUGCCGGCACCUGCUGGCCGCAGGGCCCCGCACGGGGGGAAGAGAGGAAAGAACCUCCGCGGGCUCACGGCCUUCAGAGGCUCGGGAACUAGGGAAUAUGAACCCACCCAACUUCAGCGCGAUCCGCGCUCCAGACCCGAGAAGGAGAUCACGGGACACCCCACGGGCAUGUUCUGACAGCGAGCAUUCAAAGUGCCCUGAUGAUCCGAGGAUUAGUUUGAAAGUCCUUCUGAGGAAGAGCUUUGGAAAAAGAAGGAACGUGGCAAGAAAUGUGGAAAGGCCAGACACUGGGGGAGGUUGAGAGGUAGAAGCCACUGAUGGUUCGAGACAGUUUCCUAAUAUAGGAUCGUAAUAC
rnacentral:lncRNA from 1 species